AGGCGAAACCGCGAAUGGCUCAUUAAAUCAGUUUUGGUUCCUUAGAUCGUACCUCACUACUUGGAUAACUGUGGUAAUUCUAGAGCUAAUACAUGCAGCAGAGCUCCGACCUCAGGGGACGAGCGCUUUUAUUAGAAAAGACCAACCCGGAGGCUCCGGUCGUUGUGGCGACUCUGGAUAACUUUGGGCUGAUCGCACGGGCUCGUCCCGGCGACGCAUCUUUCAAGUGUCUGCCUUAUCAACUGUCGAUGGUAGGUCACGCGCCUACCAUGGUCGUAACGGGUGACGGGGAAUCAGGGUUCGAUUCCGGAGAGGGAGCCUGAGAAACGGCUACCACAUCCAAGGAAGGCAGCAGGCGCGCAAAUUACCCACUCCCGGCACGGGGAGGUAGUGACGAAAAAUAACGAUACGGGACUCUUUUGAGACCCCGUAAUUGGAAUGAGUACCAUGUAAAGACUUUUUCGAAAGUCCACUGGAGGGCAAGUCUUGUGCCAGCAGCCGCGGUAAUUCAAGCUCCAGUAGCGUAUAUUAAUGUUGUUGCGGUUAAAAAGCUCGUAGUUGGAUCUCAGUUCGGGACGGGCGGUCCGCCUACCGGUGGUCACUGUUCGUUCCGGACAGCCAGCCGGUUUCCGGGGAUGAUCUUGACCGGUUGUCUCGGGUGACCGGCACGUUUACUUUGAAAAAAUUAGAGUGCUCAAAGCAGGCCGAGAGCCUGGAUAAUGGUGCAUGGAAUAAUGGAAUAGGACCUCGGUUCUAUUUUGUUGGUUUUCGGAACACGAGGUAAUGAUCGAGAGGGACAGACGGGGGCAUUCGUAUUGCGGCGAUAGAGGUGAAAUUCUUGGACCGCCGCACGACGAACAGCUGCGAAAGCAUUUGCCAAGAAUGUUUCCGUUGAUCAAGAACGAAAGUUAGAGGUUCGAAGGCGAUCAGAUACCGCCCUAGUUCUAACCAUAAACGAUGCCAACCGGCGAUCCGCCUGAGUUCCUGAAAUGACUCGGCGGGCAGCUUCCGGGAAACCAGCUUUGGGUUCCGGGGGAAGUAUGGUUGCAAAGCUUAAACUUAAAGGAAUUGACGGAGAGACACCACAAGAGGUGGAGCUUGCGGCUCAAUUUGACUCAACGCUGGUGACCGUACCCGGUCCGGACACUGGAAGGAUUGACAGAUUAAGAGCUCUUUCUUGAUUCAGUGACAAGUGGUGCAUGGUCGCCCUUAGUUCGUGGUGUGGAUUGUCUGGUUAAUUCCGUCAACGAACGAGAUUAUAUCCUACUAAAUAGACGGCCCACUCUCAGCAGUGGGACGCUUUCUUAGAGGGACAGGCGGCGUCUAGCCGCACGAGACGUACCUAUGGCAGGUCUGUGAUGCCCUCAGAUGAACGGGGCCGCACGCGUGCUACAAUGAAGGAAUCAGCACGUGCUUUCCCGGUCCGAGAGGACCGGGUAACCCAAUGAACCUCCUUCGUGAUUGGGAUAGGGGCUUGCAAUUAUUCCCCUUGAACGAGGAACCCCUAGUAAGCGCGAGUCAUCAUCUCGUGUUGAAUCAGUCCCUGUCUCUUGUGCACACCGCCCGUCGCUAGGAUCGAUGGAGUGAUUUUGUGAGGUCUUCGGACUGGCUCUCGGAGCGGCCUCCGGGUCGCGCCGAGUUGCCGGGAAGAAAAUCGAACAUGAU
rnacentral:rRNA from 1 species